GACAUCAUGGAGGACAUAAGGACCUCUUGGAGCUGGAGUUCCUCGGUCAGUUUCUCAUCAUUAGGGACUUUGGAGAGAUCUACUUCAUUAAUGGCAAGUGCUUAGAGGUCGAGACCAUGUACAUGAGGAUUUGCAGCAAGUUUAGAGGAUUGGGGUGCUGAGUGCCUUCCAACAUUUCAUACUGGUUCUGGGAAGUCAGUUACAGUAAGACAGUCUUCUAUGAGGAAAGCAUCAGCUGUUCUUGAAACAGAGGGUAUGAAUAAAGUUUCGGAGGAUGG